GUCAAGUUUCAAAGGGCUCACGGUGGAUACCUAG
rnacentral:rRNA from 1 species